rnacentral:rRNA from 1 species
UACGGGGGGUGCGAGCGUUGUCCGGAAUCACUGGGCGUAAAGGGCGCGUAGGUGGCAUGAUAAGGGUGUGGUGAAAGCCCGGGGCUCAACCCCGGGUCGGCCAUGCCGACUGUCACGCUGGAGUACUGUAGGGGCAGGCGGAAUUCCGGGUGUAGCGGUGGAAUGCGUAGAUAUCGCCUGGAACGCCGAAGGUGAAAACAGUCUGCUGGGGGCGUACCGACGCUGAGACACGAAAGCCAGGGGAGCGAACGGG